rnacentral:rRNA from 1 species
GAUGAACGCUGGCGGCGUGCCUAAUACAUGCAAGUCGAGCGCGAGAGUGAGGAGCUUGCUCCUCAUAAUCGAGCGGCGGACGGGUGGGUAACACGUAGGCAACCUACCCUUGAGAUUGGGAUAACUACCGGAAACGGUAGCUAAUACCGGAUACGACUUUUCCACACAAGUGGAAUGGUUAAAAGGCGGAUUUAUCUGCCGCUCAUGGAUGGGCCUGCGGUGCAUUAGCUAGUUGGUGAGGUAGUGGCUCACCAAGGCGACGAUGCAUAGCCGACCUGAGAGGGUGAUCGGCCACACUGGGACUGAGACACGGCCCAGACUCCUACGGGAGGCAGCAGUAGGGAAUCUUCCGCAAUGGACGCAAGUCUGACGGAGCAACGCCGCGUGAGUGAUGGAGGGUUUCGGCUCGUAAAACUCUGUUGUUAAGGAAGAACACUUGAGGUAGUAACUGGCCUUGAGAUGACGGUACUUAACCAGAAAGCCACGGCUAACUACGUGCCAGCAGCCGCGGUAA